GCUGGGCAUAGUGGCAUACGCCUGUUAUCCCAGCUACUUGGGAGGCUGAGGAAGGAGGAUCGCAGGUUUUUGAGGCCAGCCUGGGCAAUUUAGUGAGAUCCAGUCUCAA
rnacentral:sRNA from 1 species